GGUUAAGCGACUAAGCGUACACGGUGGAUGCCCUGGCAGUCAGAGGCGAUGAAGGACGUGCUAAUCUGCGAAAAGCGUCGGUAAGGUGAUAUGAACCGUUAUAACCGGCGAUGUCCGAAUGGGGAAACCCAGUGCAAUUCGUUGCACUAUCGUUAACUGAAUACAUAGGUUAACGAGGCGAACCGGGGGAACUGAAACAUCUAAGUACCCCGAGGAAAAGAAAUCAACCGAGAUUCCCCCAGUAGCGGCGAGCGAACGGGGAGCAGCCCGGAGUCUGAAUCAGCUUGUGUGUUAGUGGAAGCGUCUGGAAAGUCGCAGGGUACAGGGUGAUACUCCCGUACACUAAAACACACAGGCUGUGAACUCGAAGAGUAGGGCGGGACACGUGGUAUCCUGUCUGAAUAUGGGGGGACCAUCCUCCAAGGCUAAAUACUCCUGACUGACCGAUAGUGAACCAGUACCGUGAGGGAAAGGCGAAAAGAACCCCGGCGAGGGGAGUGAAAAAGAACCUGAAACCGUGUACGUACAAGCAGUAGGAGCCCCACCACCAAAGCGUUUCGCUUUGCGUGGUGCGCAAAAUGCGUAACGACAGCAUGAUGGACGGUUAACGGAGCGUCAGCGACGUUCAACCUCAAAAAUCAGGCAGUGGAGCGUUUUGGGGUGGGGUGACUGCGUACCUUUUGUAUAAUGGGUCAGCGACUUAUAUUCUGUAGCAAGGUUAACCGAAUAGGGGAGCCGCAGGGAAACCGAGUCUUAACUGGGCGUUAAGUUGCAGGGUAUAGACCCGAAACCCGGUGAUCUAGCCAUGGGCAGGUUGAAGGUUGGGUAACACUAACUGGAGGACCGAACCGACUAAUGUUGAAAAAUUAGCGGAUGACUUGUGGCUGGGGGUGAAAGGCCAAUCAAACCGGGAGAUAGCUGGUUCUCCCCGAAAGCUAUUUAGGUAGCGCCUCGUGAACUCAUCUUCGGGGGUAGAGCACUGUUUCGGCUAGGGGGUCAUCCCGACUUACCAACCCGAUGCAAACUACGAAUACCGAAGAAUGUUAUCACGGGAGACACACGGCGGGUGCUAACGUCCGUCGUGAAGAGGGAAACAACCCAGACCGCCAGCUAAGGUCCCAAAGUCAUGGUUAAGUGGGAAACGAUGUGGGAAGGCCCAGACAGCCAGGAUGUUGGCUUAGAAGCAGCCAUCAUUUAAAGAAAGCGUAAUAGCUCACUGGUCGAGUCGGCCUGCGCGGAAGAUGUAACGGGGCUAAACCAUGCACCGAAGCUGCGGCAGCGACGCUUAUGCGUUGUUGGGUAGGGGAGCGUUCUGUAAGCCGUUGAAGGUGGCCUGUGAGGGUUGCUGGAGGUAUCAGAAGUGCGAAUGCUGACAUAAGUAACGAUAAUGCGGGUGAAAAACCCGCACGCCGGAAGACCAAGGGUUCCUGUCCAACGUUAAUCGGGGCAGGGUGAGUCGACCCCUAAGGCGAGGCCGAAAGGCGUAGUCGAUGGGAAACAGGUUAAUAUUCCUGUACUUGGUGUUACUGCGAAGGGGGGACGGAGAAGGCUAUGUUGGCCGGGCGACGGUUGUCCCGGUUUAAGCAUGUAGGCGGAUGUUCCAGGUAAAUCCGGAACGUUACUAACGCUGAGGUGUGAUGACGAGGCACUACGGUGCUGAAGUGACAAAUGCCCUGCUUCCAGGAAAAGCCUCUAAGCAUCAGGUAACAUCAAAUCGUACCCCAAACCGACACAGGUGGUCAGGUAGAGAAUACCAAGGCGCUUGAGAGAACUCGGGUGAAGGAACUAGGCAAAAUGGUGCCGUAACUUCGGGAGAAGGCACGCUGAUGGUAGGUGAAGUGACUUGCUCAUGGAGCUGAAAUCAGUCGAAGAUACCAGCUGGCUGCAACUGUUUAUUAAAAACACAGCACUGUGCAAACACGAAAGUGGACGUAUACGGUGUGACGCCUGCCCGGUGCCGGAAGGUUAAUUGAUGGGGUUAUCCUCGCGGAGAAGCUCUUGAUCGAAGCCCCGGUAAACGGCGGCCGUAACUAUAACGGUCCUAAGGUAGCGAAAUUCCUUGUCGGGUAAGUUCCGACCUGCACGAAUGGCGUAAUGAUGGCCAGGCUGUCUCCACCCGAGACUCAGUGAAAUUGAACUCGCUGUGAAGAUGCAGUGUACCCGCGGCAAGACGGAAAGACCCCGUGAACCUUUACUAUAGCUUGACACUGAACACUGGUCCUUGAUGUGUAGGAUAGGUGGGAGGCUUUGAAGUGUGGACGCCAGUCUGCAUGGAGCCAUCCUUGAAAUACCACCCUUUAAUGGCUGGUGUUCUAACGUGGGCCCGUGAUCCGGGUUGCGGACAGUGUCUGGUGGGUAGUUUGACUGGGGCGGUCUCCUCCUAAAGAGUAACGGAGGAGCACGAAGGUCAGCUAAUCCUGGUCGGACAUCAGGAGGUUAGUGCAAUGGCAUAAGCUGGCUUGACUGCGAGCGUGACGGCGCGAGCAGGUGCGAAAGCAGGUCAUAGUGAUCCGGUGGUUCUGAAUGGAAGGGCCAUCGCUCAACGGAUAAAAGGUACUCCGGGGAUAACAGGCUGAUACCGCCCAAGAGUUCAUAUCGACGGCGGUGUUUGGCACCUCGAUGUCGGCUCAUCACAUCCUGGGGCUGAAGUAGGUCCCAAGGGUAUGGCUGUUCGCCAUUUAAAGUGGUACGCGAGCUGGGUUUAGAACGUCGUGAGACAGUUCGGUCCCUAUCUGCCGUGGGCGCUGGAGAAUUGAGGGGGGCUGCUCCUAGUACGAGAGGACCGGAGUGGACGCAUCACUGGUGUUCGGGUUGUCAUGCCAAUGGCAUUGCCCGGUAGCUAAAUGCGGAAGAGAUAAGUGCUGAAAGCAUCUAAGCACGAAACUUGCCCCGAGAUGAGUUCUCCCUGACUCCUUGAGAGUCCUGAAGGAACGUUGAAGACGACGACGUUGAUAGGCCGGGUGUGUAAGCGCAGCGAUGCGUUGAGCUAACCGGUACUAAUGAACCGUGAGGCUUAACCUU
rnacentral:rRNA from 1 species